rnacentral:lncRNA from 1 species
UUUUUUUUUUUGAGUAAGUGUAGGAAUGUAUGAGCGUAAAAUGUUUUCAGUAAUAUGAAUAAAUGUCAAAAAACCAAACAUAUGAAGAAAAAACGUACGUCAGUGACCUAUGGAAGAUGGGGGAUGUAUUCGGUGCACCGGGGCAAUUGGUGCUACUGGUGCACCGGUCCCCCGUUGUAGAUUAAAAAAUAUUCAAAAAAAUCCAAAAAACAAUUUAGUGCAUUCACACAACAUCAAAGUAUGUUAUCGUAAAAAUUGAAAUCAAAAUUCAAAACAUUGCCCGUGAUACAAAAAUGACAAUUUGACACUGAAUAGUACAUAACACAAGUUGGGUUUCAGUUUGGCCCAUUAGCACAUUGAUGUCAAAUUUAUCAUUUUUGUAUCUUAAAUAAUUUUUCAAAAUUUUGAUUUGAGUUUUUGUGACAACAUACAUUGAUAGUGUGUCAACGCAUUAAAUUUUUCCAGAUUUUUCGAACAUUUUUCAAUGUGCAACAGGAUCCGGUGCACCAGUAGCACCAAUUACCUUGGUGUACCAGAUACUAUCCCAUGGAAGAUGCGGGAGCAACUAGUUAACGAGCGCUCCUUCGGGAGCCUCGCAACGAUCAGCGCCACUUGGCGCGCUCUCAGCCAUUCGCCACGUGUCGCGCUCUGGACGCUUCCUCCGGAUUUUGUUUUUUUAUUUUUCCGCACGCGUUUUCGGCUUUUUAAACGGGUUUUUUCCGGUUUUUUCGGCGUUUUGGUUUUCGCCCGGUCUUCCUUAGCUUUUCGUUCAAAAAUAAUUUCGGGAAAAAAAUUUGCGUGAAAAAAACAUGUUUUUUUCGCGAAAGUCACGGUUUUUUUCCGCGAGAGGCACGGUUGUGCUUUAGCUAGAGUCACGGCCGUGCCUUUCGGAAACGAAAAAAACACGUUUUCUGUUUUUUUUCUUUCGCGAGAGUCACGGUUUUGCUUCCGCGAGAGGCACGGUUGUGCUUUCGCGAGAGUCACAGCCGUGCCUCUCGGAAAGGGAAAAACAAAACGCGUUUUCUAUUUUUUUUCUUUCACGAGAGUUACGAUUUUGCUUCCGCGAGAGGCACGGUUCUGCUUUCGCGAGAGUAACCACUGUGCCUCUCGGAAAGGGAAAAAAAUACGUGUUUUCUGGUUUUUUUUCUUUCGGGAGAGUCACAGUUUUGCUUUCGCGGGAGGCGUGGUUGUGCUUUUCGCGAGAGUCACGGCCGUGCCUCUCGGAAACGGAAAAAAAACGUGUUUUCUGUUUUUUUUCCUUCCACGAGAGUCACGGUUUUGUUUCCACGAGAGGCACGGUUGUGCUUUCGCGAGAGUCACGGCCGUGCCUCUUCCGGAAAGGGAAAAAACCGUGCUCCCGGUUCGGUUUUUUCACUCGGUUUUUUCGUCCAGUUUUUUUCGUGAAAAAAAAGUUCGUCAAAACCUAUCAAGAUGGUAUCUAGUUUUGAAGAUCUCGACGCGAGGAAUCCAAUGAUGAAAACGGUUCGAGAUUUGGACGCACGGUUUAAGAGAUAAAACGUUUUGAAUAAACGGAUCUACGAAAAAGAGAAAACUCCCAGGUUGCGACAAGUGGCGCGUUACAUGUGCACCAUUUGUCGCAAUCUGAAAAAGUGGAGUGUUCUUUGCAACGAGUACUCCCUCCUUAAUUAGUGAUUUCGGGAAGAUGCGUGAUCGCUACACAUGUUCGCUUUCGAAAGGGACGCUUCUAGCUGGCUGGGCCUGGCACAUUUAGCUAGUGUGGCACACUACGAGCGAGAGAUAGAUGCUCCGUAAGGCGUGCGUACAUCGCUUAUAGCGAAUUGUAUAGUCACGUCGCUCACAGGGGCCGGCGCAGCAAUCACAUGGUUAAGCGUGGCUGCUUAAUUCAGUAUGCCGUGGAAAAAAAGAACCAAUCAGCACACAAAUGUGUACGUAAGUAGUGUAGAUUCUCUCUAUGUUGUAUUAAACCUUUUUUUAUUUAGACAUAUUAUGUCAUUUAUAUUUCAAAUAUAUUUUAUUUUACUAAAAAAUGAACAUGUACAAAAAUUUCCAUCACGUAUUUAGAGUUUUCAUGUUAUAUUACACAUUUGUUCAGUACAUACUUCGAAAAUAUAAAAUGAUCAUUUAUGAAAAAUGUCAUCAUGUCAGUAAAAAAAAUUAAUCAUCGCAUAUGUAAUAAAUCUACAUCGAUCAAAUAUUACAAAAUUGAGUAUUUGAAACAAAUGAUCAAGUUUUCUAAAGAAUCUUUGUCGCAUAUUAAAAAAGGUUUAAGUAUUUUUAAAAUUAUUGAUAAAUUUACAAAAAUUGUUUUGUAGUAAUCUUGUUCAACCAUUUUAAACAAUAUUCAUAUAUUUUCCAAAAAUGUUCAUGUACUUUAAAAAACAACGUGCGUUUAAAAAAUAUGUAAUGAUAAAAAUCAGACAUCUUUAAAAUGUUCAUAUCAUAAAUUAUCACAUAUUCCUACAUAUGUUUAUUUAAUUUUUUAAUAAAAUCACAUGUUUAAAUAUUGGUUGUGUAAUUUUUAAAUAGCGUUCAAACAUUUUACAAAAAACAUGCAUUUUUCAAAAAGUGUUUUGAAAUAAAAAAACAGAAAUAAAAAGCAGGAAAAAUAAACAAAAAAUCUGUCGAAAAAAAGGCUGGAAAAGAAAAACAAGAAAGAAACAUUUGUUUCAUGUUUGUGUUAAAAAAAUCAUCGUGUCUUAAAAAAUGUUUAUCAUGUAUGUAAGUUAUAUGUUAGAAAGUGUUCAUUAUCUACUUAUGAAAUGUUCAUUGUAUAUAAAAUAACAAUCUGUGUUUAUUAUCACGAUGUGCCUGAACAAAGUUCAUCUGGUAUUUAUACCACGUUCAUGUAUACAUUACAGGAUCCAGACAAUAAGUUCCACAACAAUCCUUAGAAACUUCACAAAACCGCUCACAUCGCACUCAAUGAGCAGGCCCGGUUCGUCCAUCACUAGAGGUGACGGUAGCAAUGGUCUGGCACUAGCCUAGACCUCCCUUCCCUAAAAAAAAAAAACCUAGACCUACCUCCCCCCACCCCAAAAGAAAAACUAAGCCAAACCUAGUAGUUGCGNNNNNNNNNNNNNNNNNNNNNNNNNNNNNNNNNNNNNNNNNNNNNNNNNNNNNNNNNNNNNNNNNNNNNNNNNNNNNNNNNNNNNNNNNNNNNNNNNNNNNNNNNNNNNNNNNNNNNNNNNNNNNNNNNNNNNNNNNNNNNNNNNNNNNNNNNNNNNNNNNNNNNNNNNNNNNNNNNNNNNNNNNNNNNNNNNNNNNNNNNNNNNNNNNNNNNNNNNNNNNNNNNNNNNNNNNNNNNNNNNNNNNNNNNNNNNNNNNNNNNNNNNNNNNNNNNNNNNNNNNNNNNNNNNNNNNNNNNNGUUUAAAAAAACACAAAGCAUAUUUGUUUUACAAAGAGAACAAAUUUUGACGACAUAUCCCGUGGGUGGGGGCAUAUCUUUCCCUUGGUCGCUACGUACAUCCCGUCCGACGGACAGACCGUCAGAGCAGCACGCUCUCCGUAGGCUGAGGGGACCCCGUUCCCAUGCCGCUAACAAUGCCAGAGGUAAGUGGGGCUUAUAUACCGAAGUAAGUGAUAUAUAGCCUUCUCGAGAUACAGAACUCUUUUUUUUAGAGAAAAAUAGUUUUUUUUAGAAUAGAUACAACACUGGUGAAGGCCAUCAUAUUAUUUUUGUAAUUUCUUUAUACUUUAAAAUAUUAUAAAUAUUACAAGAAAAACAUUUGAAAAAUGUUGAAUACGUAUUUUAAAAAUAUUGAACAAGUAUUUAAAAUAUGUUCAUCAUGUAUAAAAAAAUAUUGAGCAAGUAUUUGAAAAAUGUUACACAAGUAUUUGAAAAAAUGAUGAACAUGUAUAUGAAAAUGUUAAACAAGGAUUUAAAAAAUAUUGAACAAUUAUUUGAAAAAUUGUUGAUCAUGUAUAUGAGAAUGUACAAUGAAAAACAAAAAAAUGAAAACCGAAGAACAAACAAAAGAAACGAAAGAAAUACAGAAAUUAGAAAAAACUGAAGAAAGAAAUGAAAAAAUUAAAAAAAAUGUAAAAAGAAUACAAAAAUAAAAAAAUAAAAAACGGACAAGGAAAAAAGAAAAGAAACAAAAGAAAACCAAAAAGCAUUGAAAACUGAAGAAAACGAAAUGAAAAAAGAAUAAAAAUGAAGCAGUAGAAAAGAAAAAUAAAUAAAAAGCCAAAAGAAGAAGAAAACCGAAUAACAUAGAAGAAAUCGGAGAAAGAAAAAAAACGAAAACCAGCUCGUUAUGCCUCAAGUACGAUGCGUCCAGCUACUCUAACACGAACUCGACUUGAGCUUGGUGGCUAGAGCCCUGCGCAACACCCGAUUCUUGGGUUCCCUUAUUUCCUUUUGUCUUUUUUAAAGAUUGCGCGGGUAUAACGGGCCGGCCUGGCACUGUAGCGUUUACGCGAGAACUGCUUUCCAUCUCGCUUAAAGCGAGAAUUAGCCCUUGCAUCGUCCCCGUGCCGAUCGCUCAGGUUUUGCUGGAGUAGGGUGCACCGGCACACUAGCUCUGACCCCUACGUUGUUCUGUAGCGUACCGUAGUAUUAGCAAUACCAUCCUUGCCCAUAAGACUCUGAUUCUUGGUUCCUCCUAAUUUUUCUAUAAAAUCAACAUGCUUUUCUUUAUUCUGGAUAGGUAUGAUCUGUGGGAUUUUUUGCUUUCAUAAAAAAAGGUCAUGACUCAGAAAAAGUUGUAUGGAUUUAAAAUAAAACUUUGUGAAUUAGAAAAAUGGUCACAGUGUGAAAAAAUGUUCACGGAUUUAAAAAAAAUCAUUAAUUCGAAAAAUAAUCAAAAAUCUAAAAAUGCUCAGGAAUUUGAAAAUGUUAAAGAAUUCAUAAAAUUGAUCAUGAAUAUGAAUAAUGUCCACGAAUCUGAAAAAUGUAUUGUUAAAAAAAUCACAAAUGAAAAAAUUGUUCAGCCUUUUGAAAAAUUCUUCAAUUUAGAAACUUCACAAAUUUAACAAAUAAAUGAAUUUUAAAAUGUUCAAUUUUUUUAAAAUAUUCACUAAAUAAAAAAAUGCCACUAUUAAUGAAUUAUUGUUUUCACAAACUCAAAAAAUGUUUCUCAAAUUCAAAACAAUGCUCGCUAACUCAGAAACAGUUCAUGCUGUCGAAAAAUGUCAAAUUCAAAAAGAUGUCCACGAAUAAAAAAAGGAAAAUGAAAAAUGAACAAUAAAAAUGAAAACUAAAGGAAAGAAAGAAAAACGAAAAAAAAGGAAGACAAAAAUCAAAAAACCUCCUAGGAAAACCCCAGGAAAAAGGUUCCGAAAGCUUUCCAAAAUCGGAUGAGAAGGUUCCAGAUGUUCAGAAAACUACUCGUUUUCUUCCCGCAACCGCUCGCUUGUGUGCCCCUAAUGGUCGGCCAUUUGAACUCUUGUGGGCGAUCGCGAUGAUAUGUAUCGCAAUAAGUGAUACAUAUCAUUCGCCAAGGGAGAGAAGCAUAAUGCAUUUUCCAUCGGCUCCGAUGGAUUCCUGGGUGCCUUUCCCAAGGCCCGUUGGGAUAUUAUCAAGUCGGACAUUAUGUUCCCAUCAAUCAUUUCUUUGAUCUUCGUGCUACUCACUUUCAUUGAUUGAACUCCGUCAACAUUGCUCUCAUUCUAAAGAAUGGCGAGGACAUUGCCGACUUCCGCCCCAUCAAUCUUAUCCAUGUCGUCGCUAAGCUAAUUGCUAAAAUGAUGUCCAACCGACUUACCCCGCACAUGAAUGAGCUCUUCUCAUACGCCCAACGUGCAUUCAUUAAAAAAAGAUGCAUCCACGACAACUUCAUGUAUGUGCGUAAUCUCGCGAGACGCUUCUACAAUUGGGAAAUCCUAGCGUCUCUUCAAACUUGAUAUUAAAAAAAGCCUUCGACUCGGUUCGGUGGUCCUUCCUCCUCGAACUGCCUUGACACCUUGGUUUCCCACUUCACUUCAUAGGUUGGGUUUCGACACUGCUGCCCUCGGCUUCGUCGCGCAUUCUGCUCAAUGGCGUGCCUGACGAUUCCACCAAGCUUGGUUAUGGGUUGAGGCAUGGAAGCAUCUACCCCCUGCUAUUCAUCCUCACAUUCAGGUGAAGGCCACGGCUCAGAGAAACCUUCAUCCCCUUGGUGGAAAUGCUAUGCGUAUCCAUAGUUCGCUUUACACGGACGACGUCGUUGUUUCUCUUGCACCCAUUAAGGAGGACGUCCAGUUCUUCAAAUUGUUCCAAAAGUUUUGUUGCCCCAAUCCGUUCCGAAAAUGUUGAUCUUCCGGACAUCUUCCAGUCCUGACCGGCCAAGUAUUCCUCCUUUCCGACGAAUAUACCUUGGUUUGCCUUUGUCAAGAGGUUGAAGAGAGUUCACUACAAGCCCCUUGAGGACAAUAGUCAGUUCACUCCUUGGGUGGGAAGGCAUAUUGCCUCAGCGGGUCAUGCGAUCUUGGUCAAGUCGAUCCUCAUGGCGAUUGCUAUCUACUACAUGACAGUGUUAGAUUUACCGAUGGUGGUCAAGAACAAGAUCGAUGCGCUCAGACGUGCUUUCCUUUGGGCAGGUUGUGAUAAGGUCAUAGGUGGAAUAUGCAAGCUAAAUUGGAAGCAAGUGUGCAAGUCCAACCUACAUGGAGGCCUUGGAAUCCUAAAUCUUGACAAGUUUUCCAUUCCCCUUCGCCUCCGGUGCUUGUGGGCUGAGUGGCUUCACCCGUACAAGCCAUGGUUUGGCUUGGGAACCCCUUGUGAUGCCAAUGACCGAGAUAUCUUUGUCGCGACUACCAAGGUCCAAGUUGGGUAUGGCAUGUGUGCCAAGUACUGGGAGUCACCUUUGCUCAAGGGGAUUAGGCCCAAUGAUGUGGCUCCAAAAAUCUAUGAUUUGUCGAAGAAGAAAAUUGCUUGGUUCAAAUGGCUUUACACGACAACUACUGGACUUCCCAGGUGGACAUUCUUCAAGGCAUCCCCGUCGAACACAUCUUUGAGUUUGUCAACCUUUGGGAGAGGCUCUCCCAUGUCCACCUUAAUAUUGACAAGCCCGACACUAUCACUUGGAAGUUCACUACUGGCGGACACUACUCGGCGGCGUCGGCAUACAAGGCACAAUUCUUUGGCCGGGCUGACAGGGCCAUGAUCCCGACUGUUUGGAAGAUUUGGGCACCUUCUAAAUACAAGUUCUUUGCAUGGAUGGCAAUCAACAAAUAGGAUUGGACGGUAGACAAGCUUCAUCAUCGUGGCCUCGUGGGUGGCCAAACUGUAACCUUUGUUCCCCGUGCAAGCAGGUCCACCCAUUCAGACUUUGGCACAUGAUCAAAGAUCCUUGGUCACCAUGAAGUGCAUCCUUCGACCAGGGUGACGCGGCUUCCGCUAAAGAUAGGUGGAGCCACAAUGCUACCAAGAAGACCCAAUCGCGAGGGCCACUUGCUUCCUUGAUGUUGCUUAUCUCUUGGGGGGUUGUGGAAAGAGAGGAAUGCACGGAUCUUCCGUAAUAAUGCCGUUUCGGUGGGAGUCAUUGUUGCUAGGAUUAAAGAGGAGACCUAUCUUUGGAGCAUUGCGGGAGCAGGCACUGGAGUAACGUAAUGCCGCCUGAGGCAAAUCUUUUGCCUCAUAUCAAAAUAAAAAUAAAAAACUAGGCCACGGACCCCUAGACGCCAGCUUCUAAACUACAGAGGAGAAAGAGGCCAAGAGGGGAGGUGACUGCUACCAUCUAAACUUACAGGAAAGCUUGGGAUUUUAUCAGGCUUACAAGCUGGCCUGAAGACACUUUUUUCUUUCCGGUCUGAACGUUGUUCCUCAGGGAAGGGUAUCUCGUCCCACCUGAAGACUAUGAUGAAGGUGGUGCUUUGGAGGCUGGCCCAUAAUUGUCUGCCCGCAAGGUUCUCAACUCCAACUGAGAUCAGUUCCCACAAGGUACGGCUGUUAUUGUAAUUGUAAGGAAGAUGUGGAUCGUUGCUUUUCUUUUUUACAUUGCCAAUAUGUCCAAGAGCUAUGGAUGGAAAUAAAUAAAUAUGCAUAUGGUAUUUGCCUGAAGCUAACAAGGUUUGUUGAUAUGAGGCCAUGGAUAUUGGGCUGAAAUUCUUAACCGGCGAAGCUUCAGAUUUCCAUGCUAUAAUAUGGCCCUAGCAACAACCAUACGACGCGGUAUUUGGGGAAACAGGAACAGCUCCGGUAAUGGCGAGCUGAAGCUUCACCCCUUCCGUACUGUGGGUAAAAUCAAAGCCUGACAUGACCUCAAUACCUCAUCAUCAAAACGAAAAUGGUCUCCGCCACAGGAAGAUAUGUCGCAGAUAAAUGUUGAUGCGUCGACUUUGGCCCACUCUGAACAAGCUGGUCUAGGCGCCGUUGUUCAUGGAUCAGUGCAGGCGGCGAAUGAGGCUGCCGUUCACCAUGUUGAAAUCCCAGAAGUGGCUGAAGCCCUUGCAUCGCGUCAGGCUCUCGCCUUUUGGCAGGAGUUCAGGUUUUCAUAAGACACAUGUAGUAGUUCAGAGUUUUCAGAGGUAGUUCGAAGGAAGCACCUGAUAUUUUCCCAGUUCAGACCACCCGCCUAUCUGGGAUAAAUAAGGUGCAAAGUGGGUUUGACAGAUCAUCUAUAGGCGCCUCAGGUCCAAGAUGUCAAGAAUAAUGCCUCGAUGUUUUUAUCUAGUAAUUUUAUUCAUGUAAAAUGUUGUAGCAAUGAGGCAUCUCAUGUUCUUGCAAAAUCUGCAGAAUAUGAUGUUGGGUCGUGCUGGUACCGUGAGGAACCUUCAGGACAGGCCCAUUGUUUGUAAUGAAAACACUAUAAACGAAUGCAAGGGUGCCACCCGUUGUCGAAAAACCAAACUAAAAUGAAGAAGCAAAAAGUCUCGACUAGACUCAUGUAAACUGGAAGGCCGGAGUAGGCAUCGUAUAGCACCUGAAUCCAACCUCAUCUUGUCAGUCGUCACUCAAAUACAACUUCAGAAGAAAGAAACUUUAAAUACUAGUGACAAUCCAUAGAGCAGCGAACAUUUCCAGCAAGCCAGUGCAACAUGGAGCAAACAGACUGAAUGAUUGAUUAUUCAAUGAACAGCAACACAACACAACCGUUUAUUAUCCAUAGAACACAACACGGUACAAGAGAUAAUCAACCCCACCCCCUAACCAUUCCCCGCCGACACGCCUACAAGAGUCUCACUCACCUACAAGAUUUCAAAUCAAGGGUUUGAAUGCUCCACACAGCAAACCAAUCACAUUUGAAUCAGAUGCACAAGACAAUCGAAUCGCAGUAGCCAAUCGGAGGGGUCAGCAGCAGCAGCAGGAGGGCAUG